rnacentral:rRNA from 1 species
UCGUAGUUGGAUUCCUGGCCUGGGGUAGCCGGUCCGCCUUGCAAAAGGUGCGCACUGUGCGGCCUCGGCCAUCCUUGAGAAGAGCUGUUCUGGCAUUCAGUUGUCGGGGCGGGGAUUCUCGACGUUUACUGUGAAAAAAUCAGAGUGUUCAAAGCAGGCUUACGCCUUGAAUACAUUAGCAUGGAAUAAUGAGAUAGGACCUUGGCGGUCUAUUUUGUUGGUUUGCACGCCGAGGUAAUGAUUAAAAGGGACGGUUGGGGUUCUUCGUAUUCAAUUGUCAGAGGUGAAAUUCUUGGAUUUAUGGAAGACGAACUGCUGCGAAAGCGUCGAACAAGGACGUUCUCAUUAAUCAAGAACGAAAGUUAGGGGAUCGAAGAUGAUUAGAUACCAUCGUAGUCUUAACCAUAAACUAUGCCGAUUCAGGAUUGGCGGUCGUUUGUUCUCGACUCCGUCAGCACUGUAUGAGAAAUCAAAAUCUUUGGGUUCCGGGGGGAGU